rnacentral:rRNA from 1 species
CAUGCCGUAAACGUUGGGCGCUAGGUGUGGGACUCAUUCCACGAGUUCCGUGCCGCAGCUAACGCAUUAAGCGCCCCGCCUGGGGAGUACGGCCGCAAGGCUAAAACUCAAAGGAAUUGACGGGGGCCCGCACAAGCGGCGGAGCAUGCGGAUUAAUUCGAUGCAACGCGAAGAACCUUACCAAGGCUUGACAUAUACCGGAAACAUCCAGAGAUGGGUGCCCCGCAAGGUCGGUAUACAGGUGG